AGAUGUGAGGAUGAUCUGGCUGGGACAUCCGUCACCGCAUGGAUCUCGGGGGUUGAUCUGGCUGCUCUGGUUGGCUGGGCAGGGACCCCCUUCCUCCCUCGCUGCUGCACAUGUGUCCCUCCCUAAGCUUUCCCCAAUCAAGACGGGAGGACCGGCCUGCUGUCAAGGGUAUCCGAGGAACUGUGCGUUCUCAAGGCUUAUCCACAUCAGAAUGUGUGUCAGACAUGACUUCUUUUAU
ensembl:misc_RNA 7SK 7SK RNA